rnacentral:rRNA from 1 species
UGAGGAAUAUUGGACAAUGGAGGCAACUCUGAUCCAGCCAUGCCGCGUGCAGGAAGACGGCCCUAUGGGUUGUAAACUGCUUUUAUACAGGAAGAAACAACUCUACGUGUAGAGUCUUGACGGUACUGCAGGAAUAAGGAUCGGCUAACUCCGUGCCAGCAGCCGCGGUAAUACGGAGGAUCCAAGCGUUAUCCGGAAUCAUUGGGUUUAAAGGGUCCGUAGGUGGAUGAUUAAGUCAGGGGUGAAAGCCUAUAGCUCAACUAUAGAAUUGCCCUUGAUACUGGUUAUCUUGAAUCAUUAUGAAGUAGUUAGAAUAUGUAGUGUAGCGGUGAAAUGCAUAGAUAUUACAUAGAAUACCAAUUGCGAAGGCAGAUUACUAAUAAUGUAUUGACACUGAUGGACGAAAGCGUGGGGAGCGAACA